GUUUCUUUCGAAAGGCGAACAGGGAAUCAAUACGACGAUCUGUUUAUACAAGAGAAAUAACUUUUGUCGUUUUUGCUAGAUACGUUUGCUCUUUCUUUUUUUUUUUUUUUUUUUUUUUUUUUAUCAAAAUGCAUAAUACUUGAUAACAGGUAUAUAACUACUAAGCUGUACAUGCAGAUUAGAAAAUCAUUAUACAUGUAGGGAUUCCAUUAAGGUUUAAUCUAUUUGUUUCAAAUAUGAACGAUUUUCAGUAUCUUGGUUGGUGUUUCCGAGGUUUUUCGCGCAUACAGCAAAAAUCAGACUAUAUUUUAAGAUAGAGAAAUAAGUUUUUCUCAAAAAAUACCACGCCUAAAAAUGAUCAGAUUAUUCAGUGUACUGCAAAUAAUUAUAAGUAGCAAUUAACAAUAGUUCGACAUAGAUUUUCGAGAGUCCCUUGUUUUAUCUCGACUUUUUUUCCAAAGUUUUAAACAUUUUCCGUUCAUCUCUAUCUGCAGUUUCUACUCUUAUUUUUUUUACCCAGAACUACUUUGUGCGCUUGAGGAGACAACCACAUGACUUACUGGCAGUCUCUGUUUGUAAAUUAUUAGAGUUUUUUUUUUUAUUAUUAUUCUUUUUUUAUCAAAAUAUCAUACUUUAUAUUUUU
rnacentral:lncRNA from 1 species